rnacentral:rRNA from 1 species
UACGUAGGGGGCUAGCGUUGUCCGGAAUCAUUGGGCGUAAAGCGCGUGUAGGCGGUCCGGUAAGUCCGCUGUGAAAGUCGAGGGCUCAACCCUCGAAUGCCGGUGGAUACUGUCGGGCUUGAGUACGGGAGAGGUGAGUGGAAUUCCCAGUGUAGCGGUGAAAUGCGUAGAUAUUGGGAGGAACACCAGUGGCGAAGGCGGCUCACUGGACCGGAACUGACGCUGAGGCGCGAAAGCGUGGGGAGCAAACAGG